UUUCCGUAGGUGAACCUGCGAAAGGAUCAUUGUCGUGACCCUGACCAAAACUGACUGCGCAUGCGUUAUCUAUCUUACCGGCGGCGGCUCUGUCCAUCGCUUGGCCAAAGUCCUCGAAAACCUCCUAUCCUUGUAGGUGGGGCUCGGGGUAAAAGAACCCAUGGUGCCAAAGGCGUCAAGGAACACUUAUGCCUAACCCGGGGACGCGGUUGGCUUGCUAGCCGUCCCCAGUGUUGCAAUGCUAUUUAAUCAACAUGAAUCUCGGCAACGGAUAUCUCGACUCUU
rnacentral:misc_RNA from 1 species